GCACAACGCGAAGAACCUUACCUACUCUUGACAUCCAGAGAACUUAGCAGAGAUGCUUUGGUGCCUUCGGGAGCUCUGAGACAGGUGCUGCAUGGCUGUCGUCAGCUCGUGUUGUGAAAUGUUGGGUUAAGUCCCGCAACGAGCGCAACCCUUAUCCUUUGUUGCCAGCGGUUCGGCCGGGAACUCAAAGGGGACUGCCAGUGAUAAACUGGAGGAAGGUGGGGAUGACGUCAAGUCAUCAUGGCCCUUACGAGUAGGGCUACACACGUGCUACAAUGGCGUAUACAAAGAGAAGCGACCUCGCGAGAGCAAGCGGACCUCAUAAAGUACGUCGUAGUCCGGAUUGGAGUCUGCAACUCGACUCCAUGAAGUCGGAAUCGCUAGUAAUCGUAGAUCAGAAUGCUACGGUGAAUAUGUUCCCGGGUCUUGUACACACCG
rnacentral:rRNA from 1 species